rnacentral:rRNA from 1 species
UACAGAGGUCCCAAGCGUUGUUCGGAUUCACUGGGCGUAAAGGGUGCGUAGGUGGUGAGGUAAGUCGGAUGUGAAAUCUCCGAGCUCAACUCGGAAACUGCAUUGGAAACUACCUUGCUCGAGGGUUGGAGGGGGGACUGGAAUGCUUGGUGUAGCAGUGAAAUGCGUAGAUAUCAAGCGGAACACCAGUGGCGAAGGCGAGUCCCUGGACAACUCCUGACACUGAUGCACGAAAGCGUGGGGAGCAAACAGG